CCUACGGGUGGCAGCAGUGAGGAAUAUUGGUCAAUGGACGCAAGCCUGAACCAGCCAAGUCGCGUGAAGGAUGACUGCCCUACGGGUUGUAAACUUCUUUUAUACAGGAAUAAAGUGAGGCACGUGUGCCUUUUUGUAUGUACCGUAUGAAUAAGGAUCGGCUAACUCCGUGCCAGCAGCCGCGGUAAUACGGAGGAUUCGAGCGUUAUCCGGAUUUAUUGGGUUUAAAGGGAGCGUAGGUGGGUUGUUAAGUCAGUUGUGAAAGUUUGGGGCUCAACCGUAAAAUUGCCAUUGAUACUGGUCGGCUUGAGUACAGUUGAGGUAGGCGGAAUUCGUGGUGUAGCGGUGAAAUGCUUAGAUAUCACGAAGAACUCCGAUUGCGAAGGCAGCUUACUAAACUGCCACUGACGUUGAGGCUCGAAAGUGUGGGUAGCAAACAGGAUUAGAUACCCGAGUAGUC
rnacentral:rRNA from 1 species